rnacentral:rRNA from 1 species
CUCAAAGGAAUUGACGGGGCCCGCACAAGCGGAGGAACAUGUGGUUUAAUUCGAUGAUACGCGGGGAACCUUACCUGGGCUUAAAUGCAGAGUGCAUGGAGUGGAAACACUUCUUCCCUUCGGGGCUCUUUGCAAGGUGCUGCAUGGUUGUCGUCAGCUCGUGCCGUGAGGUGUCGGGCUAAGUCCCAUAACGAGCGCAACCCUUAUCGUUAGUUGCCAGCGGGUAAAGCCGGGAACUCUAGCGAAACUGCCGGUGUAAACCGAGAGGAAGGUGGGGAUGACGUCAAAUCAUCAUGCCCCUUAUGUCUUGGGCUACACACGUGCUACAAUGGCCUACACAACGGGAAGCGAAGGGGUGACCUGGAGCCAAUCCUACAAAGUAGGUCUCAGUUCGGAUUGCACUCUGCAACUCGAGUGCAUGAAGCCGGAAUCGCUAGUAAUCGCGGAUCAGCACGCCGCGGUGAAUACGUUCCCGGGCCUU